rnacentral:miRNA from 1 species
CUCUCUGGGGAGGAUAAUUUG